UGGAGGUGAAUAAGUGCAAAACAUCGAUAUAGAAAGUAUGAUAUGUUCAAUGUUACUAAGCAACACUCCAUUUCCUAAUUAAAUGGGUUCAGUUUUGUCGGUUGAAGCCCCCACCCCAUCUUAGCAUUGCUCACUUCUUGCGUAAUUCAAUUGACGUAUACAAUUUACAGCACUGUAAUUAUAAAAUAAAGAAUUUACAGCACCGUUUACGUUACUUUUAAUGUGAUAUGUUCACAGAUUUAGUGUAUUAUAUUUGACUGAAAUAAAGAUUUACAUAAAGAUUUACUUCUCUCAAUCAUAUCAGCUAUAACUUUGAAACAUCAUGCACAAUAGAGAGUUACUGCAUUGCUGUACAAAUGUAAAUAUAAACAUCUUCAUAGUCUAUCUAUCACUACAUUAAAGGGAAAGGCAACCCCAAAGAUUUUUACAUGAUAAUUAAAUGAUAGGAUCAAUUAUAUGAUAAAAAUUUGUCAUACUAUUCUGUUGAUAUACGGCCUUGAUAAGCGUCAGUACUAAUUUGAAACUGUUAAAAAUCGAAAUUCCCGCCAUCUAUAGAGGCUGCCAGUUUAAUAAGUAACUCUCUUGUAUUCAAGACCACUAAAAUCAAUAAUUUUGACCUCACACCGUCCGUUCCGGUUUUUAAGAUCAUCAAAAAUGUGUAUGUGGUAGAUCCUACAAAUAGAUAGGUUGAUGCCUUUCUGUCAAGCAGUUAAUUACACUAAUUAUGCAAAGGGGAAAUAUGAAAAAAGUUUUUCUCUCGAGAAAUUCCAGACCCAAUCAAAAGUCAUCUGAAAAGAAAAGAAAGAAAAGACUGUGUAAACUGUGGAUCCAUCAUUUGCCUAAUGACAAUUUGAGGUUCAAAACAUUUGUAUGAAGAAACGUUUACCAAUCUGCCUGCAUUCAGGUCUGCGACUCGAUUGAACGUCUUUUCUCAAAUUCUUCUUGCCAAAGAACGGGCUCAAAUCUAUACGGCUCAAAACUUAACUGUUCGUUACUUGUCAUGUUUACAGUGUUACUGAUGUUAGAAAUAAACCGGAACAGACGGUGUCUCAGCAGUCUCAAUUAAACAUCAAUGGCUGCUCUCUUGGCGGCGGGUAACUUAAAAUGCAUGUCUUGAUAGAUAAUAUUGAUUUAAUUGUUAAGCAAGGAUUUUUCUUGUUAAAUUUUUAGACUCUGACUGUAAUUUACGAUAUCAGUAAGUGAUACUUUAUUCAUAAAAAACAACAAUGUGAUUAGGGCAAUUGUCUUUCCCUUUAACAUCAAAAACACAGAAAUACUGUAUUUACAGAGAAAUUACGCCUAGGAUUCUGUCCUUUACACCCAAAGUCAACAUUAAUCCAAACUGGACGACUUUAAAUUGAAUGAAACAACUUUGUGGUGGAAUUAAAAUGGAGAAGAAAUAUGAAGUUAAUUAAUCAAUUGAGAUUAUGGAUGAAAAUAACACAAGGCCAAAAUAUCCCAAAGGCACACAGUAUUCAGACCCUGUAACAACAAUGCUAGAAUUUCACACAGUAUUCAGACUGAAUGCUAGAAAUGAUGAAACCAUUGCUUCAUACAGUCUAUGUACUGUGUUCUACCCUAUAUCUCAGUCAUGCUAUUUAUUCUUCAUUCUCUACAAAUAAUUUGUCAUUCUAUGUACUAGCUGUAUUUCUACUCUAUAUCUCUAUCAUGCCAUUUAUUCUUCAUUCUAUAUAAAUGAUAUGUCAUGCAAUCAAACCUCUAAAAUAUCCAAAUAUUGACCAUUUUAUCAAAUUUAUAUGAAACU